rnacentral:sRNA from 1 species
AGAUGGGAGGUGUCGUUGGCAUCAGUCGCCCCCGCCGACGGCUCUUUCCGGGGGGCGGGUGAACAGCCCGUCCCCUUCUACUCUCUUCCGAUGGAAUGCGCCCCCCUCCGUCGGAAGGCUUGGCGGACGGUGAAGUGCCCCCUUCACCGUCCGUUCUU